GUCAACAGAGGGAAGCUAAGCAGUGAUGUGGAGCAAAUCCCCAAAAGCAGUCUUAGUUCGGAUUGUAGGCUGCAACCCGCCUACAUGAAGUCGGAAUUGCUAGUAAUCGCGGAUCAGCAUGCCGCGGUGAAUACGUUCCCGGGCCUUGUACACACCGCCCGUCAAGCCAUGGGAGCCGGGGGUGCCUGAAGUUAGUGACCGCAAGGAGCGACCUAGGGCAAAACUGGUGACUGGGGCUAAGUCGUAACAAGGUAAC
rnacentral:rRNA from 1 species